rnacentral:rRNA from 1 species
GAUGAACGCUGGCGGCGUGCUUAACACAUGCAAGUCGAACGGAGUUACAUGAAACCUAGUGAUUGUAACUUAGUGGCGGACGGGUGAGUAACGCGUGAGCAACCUGCCUUCCACUGGGGAAUAACGCAGCGAAAGCUGUGCUAAUACCGCAUGAGACCACAGAGGGACAUCCCUUAGGGGUCAAAGAUUUAUCGGUGGAAGAUGGGCUCGCGUCUGAUUAGCUAGUUGGUGAGGUUAACGGGCCCCACCAAGGCGACGAUCAGUAGCCGACCUGAGAGGGUGAUCGGCCACAUUGGAACUGAGAAACGGUCCAAACUCCUACGGGAGGCAGCAGUGGGGAAUAUUGGGCAAUGGGCGCAAGCCUGACCCAGCAACGCCGCGUGAAGGAAGAAGGUUUUCGGAUCGUAAACUUCUAUCCUUGGCGAAGAUAAUGACGGUAGCCGAGAAGGAAGCCCCGGCUAACUACGUG